UGGAGUAAAGAAGGAAGAAUAACUCGACAGAAAGAGUUGUUGGGGAGAUUGGCAUACCUGAGAUAUCUGGAGAUGGCUAGAAACAAAGAAGAAACGUGGGGGCUACCAGUAUCAGCCAGGUCCUUGGUGCUAUCACAGCCCCACAAUAGCCAUCGCUCCCUGCAGCUUUCGCAGUGGAGGCCCCUCAGUGUUUGUUGGCAUGGACACCAGCACACACUGGCCACUUUCACCACUGAGGAAGGAGCUGCUUUUUUUUUGCCAGCCUGGGCCUAGGGUUUCCACUCAUCCCAGUCCCUUGCUCCAGACCCCAGUUCUGAGACUGAGUACCUGCACUGCGAAGGCCAGAACCACUACUGCAGUUUUAAGUUGAACUGGAAGAACACCCUGUGAAGAGGAAGGCAGAGAUUGGAAUGAUGCAGAAGAAGCCAGCGAAUCUAGGAGAGAGGCAUGAAUUUCCCCUUCAUAGUCCUUGUAAGGAGCCAACCCUGCUGCACCUUUAUCUCAAAUGUCCAGCUUCCAGAACUGCAAGACAGUAAAUUUCUGCUGUUUAAGACAUUCAGUUUUUGGUACUUUGUUAAAGCAGCCAUAGCAAACUAAUAUAUCCUUUAUAUCUCCUUUUUCUGUUGGGGUGAGUGGCAUUUGGGAAGGCAUAAGAACUGUAAGAAAGAUAUGGUAAUGAUAUCUACUUCAGAGAGUUAUUAAGAAAAUUAAAUAUGUUAAGGCAGCAGUCUCCAACAUUUUCGGCACCAGGGACUGGUUUAGUGGAAUAAAAUUUCUCCACAGACUGGCAUGGGGGGGUUGGUUUCCAAAUGAUUCAGUGCAUUACACUUAUUGUGCAUUUUAUUAUUAUUAUUAUACUGUAAUAUAUAGUGAAAUAAUUAUACAACUCACCAUAAUGUAGAAUCGAUGGGAUCCCUGAGCUUGUUUUCAUGCAACUAGACAGUCCCAUCUGGGGAUGAUGGAAGACAGUGACAGCUCAUCAGGUAUUAGAUUCUCAUAAGGAGAGCACAACCUAGAGCUCUUGCAUGUGCAGUUCACAAAACAUUUUGAGUUCCUAUAAGAAUCCAAUGCUGCCACUGAUCUGACUGGAGGUGGAGGUCGGAAGGUAACGCAAGUGGAGUUCAAAUGGUAAUGCAAGCGGUGGGGAGCGGUUGUACAAGUGAAGCUUCCCUAGCUCAAUCUCUGCUCACCUCCUGCUGUGAGGCCUAGUUCCUAGUAAGCCACUGACCAGCACCAGUCUGUGGCUUGGGGGAUGGGGACCCCUGAGUUAAGCAUAUAAAGUGCUUAGGAAAGUGCGUGGAGCAUAGUACUCAAUGUGUCUUACUUGUUAUUACCAUCCUUUUUCCAUUGAGCAAGCUACAUGGUAUUUUUGGAUGUAAAAGCAGAGGAUUAGACAAAAUUCUCCCACAUCCUUUCUUUCUCAGAAAUUCAAUUAUUCUAUUUUUUAUAUUUUAAGAUUAGAAAGCUCUUUUGUUCAUGUCACUACAAAUCAAUCCAUAAAAUUAUAUUACCUUCCAUGCAAUUCAACAAAGCACAGGAGAGGGAGAAAUCAAAUCUGGAGAAAAGAUGAGUAAGUGAAGACUUCACAGACUAUAUCAUGGCUGGAGUAAAAUUUGGAGGUUGAAUUUAUCACCCAGGAAAGAGCAGAGAUAACUAUUCCAGGACUUGAAAGCACCAGGGCCAGAAAAAGACAGUUAACAAGAUAGAAUAUCGGGACAGUUAACAAGAUAGAAUAUUGCUUGUUGCUGCAAAUGUUUCUGGAGCCUAAAAUUAUAGGGCAAGCAAAAGGAGAUAUAGAUAACAGAAAAUAUCUGGGCCAGAUUUUGCCAGAACAAAGGGAGACUGUUGAGUUAGAGAUGGAAGCUUCAAAGAACAGAGAAAACUGCAAUAGGUAAUAUAAUUUUGAAUUCUAAAGAUCUCUAACAUGUAAUGAGAGUUUACCAUAUGCCAGGCCCGAUUCUAAGUACUUUUACAUGUAUUAACAAAUUUAAUACUCAUGACAACACUGUUACAUGAAUAUUAUUUUAGCUUCACUUUACAAGAAUAGAAACCCUGGCACCUAGAGCUCCAGGAAGAUGUGAAAGAUCAUAUAAACUAGUAACAAAGCUGUAGUUUGAUACAGUUUUGAUAUAGUUUUAUAGUUGGAUAUAGUUUGGGUUCCAAAAAGUAAACGUGUUCACUUCCAUUAUGCUACAGCAAAGGUUAUCAGGUGCUAAAUGCAGACUAGGUGGGGGGAAGUAUAUCAGAGCAGACACUAAUUAUCAUGUAGAAAUCCUAUACUGUGUGUUUUUCCUUUAGCUGUUCAAAUACCACAUUUGUUUUGCAAAUUUUUUUUCCCAAUACCCUCACCAGAAGUAAUCUCCCCUCUUGUAUAUUCAUUUACUACCCUUUUUGGUAAAUAGUAUAUAGUUUAUAACAUUUUUGAAAUUUGUACCAAGGUGGACUUCACUGCCUUAGCUUUUUUACAUGGGUUAACACUUUAACAUUGAGACCUGUACAUGAACAGUGUUUUGUAAAUAAGAAGUGCAAAAUAAGCAUCUAAUGAAUAAUUAGACAGAAAGAAAAGAACGUAAGACAACAGUGAUAUAUUUUUGGAAGUCAGUAGUCAACCAAAGAGAUGAUAACUGAGUAACCUGUAGCACUUUCUGAAUAAGCAAAGAAAGGUGGAAAGUAAACUGGUUUCCAGAAAACAUUUUCUAAAGAUUUAGACACUGGUAGCCUUGGGUUUUGGAAUUAAGGAAGGGUGGCUACAAUAGGCAGGGAAGAUGAGGUCCAGUAACUUAGACCUGAAAUCUUACUGUCUGUAUUAGUCUGUUCUCAUAUUGCUAUAAAGAAAUACCUGCGAUUGGGUAAUUUAUAAAGGAAAGGGGUUUAGUUGACUCACAGUUCCCCAGGCUCUACGGAAAGCAGCCUGGCCAUCUGUUCAGCUUCUGAAAAGGCCUCAGGAGUCUUACAAACAUGGAGGAAGGCGAAGGGGAAGCAGACUUGUCUUACAUAGUAAGACAAGUAGGAGGAAGACGGGGAAGGUGCUACACAAUUUUAAAACAGCACUGAGGGGAUGAUGCGAACCCAUUCAUGAGACUUCUGCCCCCGUGAUCCAAUCCCUCCCACCAGGCCCCACCUCCAACACUGGGGAUGUAAACUCAACAUGAGAUUUGGUAGGAACACACAUCCAAACCAUAUUCCUGUCCUUUCCUAGAAAUCUAAAUGUCUCCUUUUGCUGGAAACCAUGUGUUGACAUUUCCUUAGCACAUUUUUGGGUACCACAUCGUUUAGCUUCAUCCCAGGUUAACAUUCCACUCUAAGCACUUAAGGUGUGUAAAGUCCUUGCUCUAAUUUCUCCUUGGUACACUGUCCUGUAUUCCCUCACUUGGUCUUCCCUAGUACAAUCGUUCCUGUUAUCUGGCUGUUCUACAGAACUUGCCCUGAAUUGUAAAAACAAAUUCUGUGUGUGAGAUGAUACUGACCAAAUUUGCUUCAUAUGAAAAAAAACAGUUCAAGAUGUUUAUGUAACAUGGGAUUUCCACACACUGAUCUUCCCCUUAUUUUAUAAUUCAAUUUUAAUGAUAUAAACUACAAGUUGUUGAGAAAAUCCAUUGAGUGACUCUUUCCCAAUUAAACAAAAUAGCCCAUCAGAUCUGCAUCUUCAAUGGUCAAAUAAAACAUAUUCCUUCUUGAGAAAGUCCAUUGAGUGGCUCUUUUCCAAUUAAAUGAAAGUCUAUCAGAUCUGCAUCCUCAAAGGUCAAAUGAAACCUAUCCCUGAACGAGGGGGUUUAUUCUUUAGCUAUACUUAAAGGAAUUUCCUGGUGUUCACACAUUUCUUUUCUAUGUUCUAUUUUUGAAGGCUUUUUUUUCUUGGCUCUUAUGUGUUUUACUUGAA